GACGAACGCUGGCGGCGUGCUUAACACAUGCAAGUCGAACGGUGACGGAGGAGCUUGCUCCUCCUGAUCAGUGGCGAACGGGUGAGUAACACGUGAGCAAUCUGCCCCUGACUCUGGGAUAACUGCGGGAAACUGUAGCUAAUACCGGAUACGACCCGCGAAUGCAUCUUCUGCGCGUGGAAAGAACUUCGAUCAGGGAUGAGCUCGCGGCCUAUCAGCUUGUUGGUGAGGUAAUGGCUCACCAAGGCGACGACGGGUAGCCGGCCUGAGAGGGUGACCGGCCACACUGGGACUGAGACACGGCCCAGACUCCUACGGGAGGCAGCAGUGGGGAAUAUUGCACAAUGGGCGGAAGCCUGAUGCAGCAACGCCGCGUGAGGGACGACGGCCUUCGGGUUGUAAACCUCUUUUGGCAGGGAAGAAGCGAAAGUGACGGUACCUGGAGAAAAAGCACCGGCUAACUACGUG
rnacentral:rRNA from 1 species